GACGAACGCUGGCGGCGUGCUUAACACAUGCAAGUCGAACGGAAAGGCCUGCUUUCCCUUGUGGAUUGCGGGUACUCGAGUGGCGAACGGGUGAGUAACACGUGAGUGAUCUGCCCCCAACUUGGGUAUAAGCCUGGGAAACUGGGUCUAAUUCCCGAUAGGACUGCAGGGUGGUGCCUGUGGUGGAAAACGAUUUUCUAGUGGUUGGGGAUGAGCUCGCGGCCUAUCAGCUUGUUGGUGGGGUAAUGGCCUACCAAGGCGGCGACGGGUAGCCGGCCUGGGAGGGUGGACGGCCACAUUGGGACUGAGAUACGGCCCAGACUCCUACGGGAGGCAGCAGUGGGGAAUAUUGCACAAUGGGCGGAAGCCUGAUGCAGCGACGCCGCGUGGGGGAUGACGGCCUUCGGGUUGUAAACUCCUUUCGACCGCGAGGAAGCCACCUGGUUGAAAGGGUGGUGACGGUAGUGGUAGAAGAAGCACCGGCUAACUACGUG
rnacentral:rRNA from 1 species